CUAAUACAUGAGCAAAAUCUCAACUUUAUUAGAAGAGACGCAUUUAUUAGAUAAAAAGCCAAUGCAUGCUUUUACAGUAUGGAAAUUGGUGAUUUAUAAUAACUUAGCAAAUCGCAAAGUGAAAACAGGCGAUAAAUCAUUCAAGUUUCUGACCUAUCAGCUUUCGACGGUAUGGUAUUGGCUUACCGUGGCAGUGACGGUUAACGGGGGAUUAGGGUUCGAUUCCGGAGAGGGAGCCUGAGAAACGGCUACCACAUCUAAGGAAGGCAGCAGGCGCGCAAAUUACCCAAUUCUAACAGUUUGAGAGAGGUAGUAACAAGAAAUAACAAUACAAGGCAAUUAAAAUGCUUUGUAAUUGGAAUGAUAGAAAUUUAAACCCUUUUUAAAGUAUCAAUUGGAGGGCAAGUCUGGUGCCAGCAGCCGCGGUAAUUCCAGCUCCAAUAGCGUAUAUUAAAAUUGUUGCAGUUAAAAAGCUCGUAGUUGAAAUUCUGCUAAAAGUAACCGGUCUGCUUUUAAUAAAAGUGGUAUCUUGGUGUGUAUUUAGCAAUGAUGUCCUUUGAAGUGUUU
rnacentral:rRNA from 1 species